GGGGAUUUGGCUCAGUGGUAGAGCGCUUGCCUAGGAAGCGCAAGGUCCUGGGUUCGAUCCCCAGCCCG
rnacentral:tRNA from 1 species